rfam:Nicotiana attenuata strain TT chromosome 10, whole genome shotgun sequence.
AGGAGCCAUAUGAGGUGAAAAUCUCACGUACGGUUCUGUAAUAGCGAUGGUCACAAUGAUGUUAUCAUCGACUAUGAU